rnacentral:rRNA from 1 species
AGUGAACGCUGGCGGCGUGCUUAACACAUGCAAGUCGAACGAGAAAGCACCUUCGGGUGUGAGUAGAGUGGCGCACGGGUGAGUAACACGUAGAUAACCUACCCAUUGAUGGGGGAUAACCAGGAGAAAUCCUGGCUAAUACCGCAUAAGUUGGUAACAAGAAAGGAUGCUUCGGCAUUCGUCGAUGGAUGGGUCUGCGGGACAUUAGCUUGAUGGUGGGGUAAUGGCCUACCAUGGCAACGAUGUCUAGCUGGUCUGAGAGGAUGAUCAGCCACACUGGAACUGAGACACGGUCCAG